UCCGUGUUCACCACGGCAGUCUCUCUAGAGAGCCCAACUUAAUGCUGGCAACUAGAGACAAGGGUUGCGCUCGUUGCGGGACUUAACCCAACAUGUCACCACACGAGCUGACGACAGCCAUGCAGCACCUGUCUUCUGGUCGUAUUGCUACGAAAGCCGUAUCUCUACGGUUGUCCAGAGAUGUCAAACCCAGGUAAGGUUCUUCGCGUUGCUUCGAAUUAAACCACAUGAUCCACCGCUUGUGCGGGCCCCCGUCAAUUCCUUUGAGUUUUAGUCUUGCGACCGUACUUCCCAGGCGGGGCACUUAUCGCGUUAGCUCAGACUCAGCAGGGGUCAAGACCCGCCAAAUCGAGUGCCCAUCGUUUACAGCGUGGACUAC
rnacentral:misc_RNA from 1 species